CUGGGAGAUCUACCUUAGGUUCUCAAGCUUGUGAGGCAAAUACUUUACUGACUGAAAUGUCUCCCUGGCCUCGCUGUUUUCCCCAACCUUGAAACACAGGGGACUGUCCCUUUACAAGCGCCCCACUUAACAGUACAGCUGACUCGAAGGGAUAACCUCUCUCUAUGCAUGACCUCCUUGAAGGUAAAGAAAAAAAGACAGCACUGAGCUGGAGAGGGGAGAGCAGGGGAAGACCCCUUUAGAUGACCAGUGUCCUGUAUGCAGCCUGCUUCCUUGCAUCUUCUGUGAUGUGUCUUACUGGAAAAGCUGCAAUGAACAGCUUGAGCCUGGGGUUAAGGUGGCAUGAUGAUCAGUGCUGUUGUUGCCAAAGUUUAAACCUGAGUUCAGGACCCACAACAUGGAAUGGUGCUGCACACGGUCAAGAUGGUUCUUCCAUCUCAGUUAACCUAA